rnacentral:rRNA from 1 species
AAAAUUUUAAAGGUCGAACAGACCUAGAUAUUAAACUUCUACGCCUAAACCUAAUUUUAAUCCAACAUCGAGGUCGCAAACUUAUUCAUCAAUAUGAACUCUCCGAAUAAAUUACG